CUUCCACCUAGUAUAGUUACAUCUGAGUCCGAUCUCUACCUUCGUCGAUUAUGGGGCCAGCCAAGUGAGGACUUAACCAUCAUACCAAAGUAUCUUGUAACUUUUACCGUUGGUUACAAUCAGAAAGACAAUAUUGAUGCAUCUGUGAAAAAGGUCAGACUUCUCCCCCUGCGCCUGUACACACGCAAUAUAUACAUUCCCUGGCAUGUCUGACUCUCUUAUCUAAAACUUCUGUUUUACAGUUUUCGGAGAAUUUCACGAUUAUAUUGUUUCAUUACGAUGGUCUUACCACUGAAUGGGAUGAGUUUGAAUGGUCAAAGCGAGCUAUUCACGUGAGUGUUCCAAAGCAGGCUAAAUGGUGGUAUGCAAAGCGCUUUCUGCACCCCGAUAUUGUUGCACCCUAUGAGCACAUUUUCAUGUGGGAUGAGGAUCUUGGGGUGGAGAACUUCGAUGCGGAAGAAUAAAUAAAACUUGUCCGAAAACAUGGUUUAGAAAUUUCCCAGCCUGGCUUAGAUGCAAGUAGUGCAGGAUUGACAUGGGCAAUGACAAGAAAGAGAGAUGACGGAGAAGUUCACAA